rnacentral:sRNA from 1 species
UGACCAUUUCAUCGUGCCGGUACGGACGGGGAAAUUAGUGCCAUACGGACAGCCGGGUCAAAUGCCGA